rnacentral:rRNA from 1 species
CAGUAGCCGCGGUAAUACGUAGGGUGCAAGCGUUAAUCGGAAUUACUGGGCGUAAAGCGUGCGCAGGCGGUUUCCUAAGUCUGAUGUGAAAGCCCCCGGCUCAACCGGGGAGGGUCAUUGGAAACUGGGAAACUUGAGUGCAGAAGAGGAGAGUGGAAUUCCACGUGUAGCGGUGAAAUGCGUAGAUAUCAGGAGGAACACCGGUGGCGAAGGCGGUUCUCUGGGCAUUACCUGACGCUGAGGAGCGAAAGUGUGGGGAGCGAACAGGAUUAGAUACCCCAGUAGUCCCUGUCUCUUAUAC